rnacentral:lncRNA from 1 species
AUGAUCGAUGCGUUUCAAAUUGUUCAAUCCAUUUACAUUUUCUACUUACUCAAAGGGACCAAGGGCUUUAGUGGUACUGCAUUUUCACUCUCGUUUUCCUCCGAGGAUUCACGGAGGUCUAGCCAACCUUGGGUCUUACAUGAGUUGAAAACCGUUGCAAUGAGUAACGAUGUCAUCAGUUGUAAAACAAACCGGUUGAGUGAUCGGGAAAAACUAUUAACGUUUUGUGAGGAUGUCGCCAUCUGCAAAAUGAAGCAAAUCAGAGUUUUCAAUGUUUCAAAAAGCGGAAUGAAAAAGGACGUCAAAAGCAUAGGGUUUGAUGGACCAAUAAUAGAUCGCUUACAUUCUUUCUGUCUAACUUUUGAAUAUUGACCGAUUAUUGCGGGUGAAGAGAGUGCCAUUCCUCUAUGAAGAAAUUCAAUUUUUAUCUUCAUCAAAAUUGGAAACUGGUAGAAUGUUAAUGAUGCACAUGGAACGUGAUAUACAAUGCCCGAAAAGUAUAGGGAAAUUGAUGGCAAAGGUAAGAUUUUUCGAAAUUUGAAAAUCCAAUUAGUUUAAAGCGUCCGAAAAUGCUCUUUCACUAAACUGCGUUGGUUGAUCAAGGGGAAUAUUAUGCUAUACGAUUUUUGGGAAAUCGAUUUUCUGAAAAACUUCCUCUUUUAUCAUGUGAUGGACAGUGUCACGUGCCAUAUGUGACGUACUUUGUGAUGGACAGUGUGAGGGAGGGUGAGGUGUGUUGUGUGUGACAUAAAUAGAGAAGUGGUAUACCUAUCGUCUCCAGAAAAAUUAACUCCAGUAAUCUUAAUUUUGAUCACCAUAGCUGUAAUUGAAAGCACAAAUCGACGGUGUAAGUCGGCAAUCACAUAACUCGGAAAACGCGAUUUUUCAGGAGAGGGGAAAAACUCUCCACAUUCCGCAUCUUUGAAGGUAGAGGGGAAAUAAUUCUUAGAGACAGCAAGGAUUAGAUGCUUUAUAAGACUCUAUCAUCAUUUUGAAUAAUAUUCCCGUAUGUCAGGAGAAAUGACCGAAAAACCGAGUUAUGUGUUUGUGGAACUAAGGUCCAACACUGAAUUCCGAGAUACGUGGUUGGUGAAUUACUGAUUCAAACCUAUUCUUUGCCGAUGUUGACUGAAUAAAGACUGAAUAAGACUCCUCUUACUUUAAAAGUAGCCUAAAGUUCUUCCUUAAAAUCCUUAAAAUUUUCG